UACAGAGGGGGCAAGCGUUGUUCGGAAUUACUGGGCGUAAAGGGCGCGUAGGCGGCCUGCUAAGUCGAACGUGAAAUCCCCGGGCUCAACCCGGGAACUGCGUCCGAUACUGGCAGGCUUGGAUCCGGGAGAGGGAUGUGGAAUUCCAGGUGUAGCGGUGAAAUGCGUAGAUAUCUGGAGGAACACCGGUGGCGAAGGCGGCAACCUGGACCGGUAUUGACGCUGAUGCGCGAAAGCCAGGGGAGCAAACGGG
rnacentral:rRNA from 1 species